rnacentral:rRNA from 1 species
UACGUAGGGGGCGAGCGUUGUCCGGAUUCAUUGGGCGUAAAGAGCUCGUAGGCGGUGUGUCACGUCGGCCGUGAAAACCUGCAGCUUAACUGUGGGCGUGCGGUCGAUACGGGCAUCACUGGAGUUCGGCAGGGGAGACUGGAAUUCCUAGUGUAGCGGUGAAAUGCGCAGAUAUCGAGGAGGGAACACCGGUGGCGAAGGCGGGUCUCUGGGCCGGAUACUGACGCUGGAGGAGCGAAAGCGUGGGGA